rnacentral:tRNA from 2 species
GCGGCUGUGGCGGAAUUGGUAGACGCGCUAGCUUCAGGUGCUAGUUUUCGCAAGGAAGUGGAGGUUCGAGUCCUCUCAGCCGCACCA